rnacentral:rRNA from 1 species
CUACAGGCUUAACACAUGCAAGUCGAGGGGCAGCAUUUCAGUUUGCUUGCAAACUGGAGAUGGCGACCGGCGCACGGGUGAGUAACACGUAUCCAACCUGCCGAUAACUCGGGGAUAGCCUUUCGAAAGAAAGAUUAAUACCCGAUGGCAUAAUUAGACCGCAUGGUCUUAUUAUUAAAGAAUUUCGGUUAUCGAUGGGGAUGCGUUCCAUUAGGCAGUUGGUGAGGUAACGGCUCACCAAACCUUCGAUGGAUAGGGGUUCUGAGAGGAAGGUCCCCCACAUUGGAACUGAGACACGGUCCAAACUCCUACGGGAGGCAGCAGUGAGGAAUAUUGGUCAAUGGACGAGAGUCUGAACCAGCCAAGUAGCGUGAAGGAUGACUGCCCUAUGGGUUGUAAACUUCUUUUAUAUGGGAAUAAAGUUUUCCACGUGUGGAAUUUUGUAUGUACCAUAUGAAUAAGGAUCGGCUAACUCCGUGCCAGCAGCCGCGGUAAUACGGAGGAUCCGAGCGUUAUCCGGAUUUAUUGGGUUUAAAGGGAGCGUAGGUGGACAGUUAAGUCAGUUGUGAAAGUUUGCGGCUCAACCGUAAAAUUGCAGUUGAUACUGGCUGUCUUGAGUACAGUAGAGGUGGGCGGAAUUCGUGGUGUAGCGGUGAAAUGCUUAGAUAUCACGAAGAACUCCGAUUGCGAAGGCAGCUCACUGGACUGCAACUGACACUGAUGCUCGAAAGUGUGGGUAUCAAACAGGAUUAGAUACCCUGGUAGUCCACACAGUAAACGAUGAAUACUCGCUGUUUGCGAUAUACAGUAAGCGGCCAAGCGAAAGCAUUAAGUAUUCCACCUGGGGAGUACGCCGGCAACGGUGAAGCUCAAAGGAAUUGACGGGGGCCCGCACAAGCGGAGGAACAUGUGGUUUAAUUCGAUGAUACGCGAGGAACCUUACCCGGGCUUAAAUUGCAUUUGAAUAAUCUGGAAACAGGUUAGCCGCAAGGCAAAUGUGAAGGUGCUGCAUGGUUGUCGUCAGCUCGUGCCGUGAGGUGUCGGCUUAAGUGCCAUAACGAGCGCAACCCUUAUCUUUAGUUACUAACAGGUCAUGCUGAGGACUCUAGAGAGACUGCCGUCGUAAGAUGUGAGGAAGGUGGGGAUGACGUCAAAUCAGCACGGCCCUUACGUCCGGGGCUACACACGUGUUACAAUGGGGGGUACAGAAGGCAGCUACCUGGUGACAGGAUGCUAAUCCCAAAAGCCUCUCUCAGUUCGGAUCGAAGUCUGCAACCCGACUUCGUGAAGCUGGAUUCGCUAGUAAUCGCGCAUCAGCCAUGGCGCGGUGAAUACGUUCCCGGGCCUUGUACACACCGCCCGUCAAGCCAUGAAAGCCGGGGGUACCUGAAGUACGUAACCGCAAGGAGCGUCCUAGGGUAAAACUGGUAAUUGGGGCU